rnacentral:rRNA from 1 species
GCAAGGGUGCGUAACACAGUGAGGUAAUCUGCCAUGAAGUUUGGAAUAACUUGCUAGUAAGAAGGACCGAGCUAAUGCCGGAUGUGACCCGUUGGGUAGGCCUCUCCCGAUAGUUAAAGCUGGGGACCGCAAGGCCUGGUCGCUUCAUGUAUGAACCCGCGGUCUAUCAGCUAGUUGGUGAAGGUAACGGCCCACCAAGGCUAAGACGGGUAGCUGGUCUGAGAGGACGACCAGCCACACUGGAACUGAGACACGGUCCAGACACCAUACGGGUGGCAGCAGUCGAGAAUUUUUCACAAUGGGCGCAAGCCUGAUGGAGCGACGCCGCGUGGGGGAUGAAUGGCUUCGGCCCGUAAACCCCUGUCAUUCGCGAUCAACCCUUAUUAUUUAAAAGAUGAUAAGCUGAUAGUAGCGGAAGAGGAAGGGACGGCUAACUCUGUGCCAGCAGCCGCGG